CUAGAUAAAAUAUCAAACUGAAGUAUUGGAAGCUAAGCAGGGUCGGGCCUGGUUAGUACUUGGAUGGGAGACCACCUAGGAAGAUCAGGUGCUUUGGCGAGG
rnacentral:rRNA from 1 species